UGCCAGCCGCCGCGGUAACCCAGGAGCCACAAGUGGCAACCGCUUUUAUUGGGCCUAAAGCGUCCGUAGCCGGUCGUAUAAAUCUUCUGUGAAAUCGUCUUGCUUAACUUGACGGCAUGCAGAAGAGACUGCACGACUAGGGACCGGGAGGAGUGAGAGGUAUUUUGGGGGGAGCGGUAAAAUGCUAUGAUCCCUGAAAGACCGCCUGUGGCGAAGGCGUCUCACUAGAACGGAUCCGACGGUGAGGGACGAAAGCUAGGGGAGCAAACCGGAUUAGAUA
rnacentral:rRNA from 1 species